rnacentral:rRNA from 1 species
UACGUAGGGGGCAAGCGUUGUCCGGAUUUAUUGGGCGUAAAGAGCGUGUAGGCGGUUCGGUAGGUCCGUUGUGAAAACUCGAGGCUCAACCUCGAGACGCCGAUGGAAACCAUCGAACUAGAGUCCGGAAGAGGAGAGUGGAAUUCCUGGUGUAGCGGUGAAAUGCGCAGAUAUCAGGAAGAACACCAAUGGCGAAGGCAGAUCUCUGGGCCGUAACUGACGCUGAGGAGCGAAAGCAUGGGGAGCGAACAGG